UACGAAGGGAGCUAGCGUUGUUCGGAAUCACUGGGCGUAAAGCGCACGUAGGCGGAUGUGUCAGUCAGGGGUGAAAUCCCGGAGCUCAACUUCGGAACUGCCUUUGAUACAGCACGUCUUGAGUCCGAUAGGGGUGGGUGGAAUUCCUAGUGUAGAGGUGAAAUUCGUAGAUAUUAGGAAGAACACCGGUGGCGAAGGCGGCCCACUGGAUCGGUACUGACGCUGAGGUGCGAAAGCGUGGGGAGCAAACAGG
rnacentral:rRNA from 1 species